AGAGAAUAAAUGAAAUUGAGUCCAUAUUUCUUUAACAAAUGAAGUUGAGUGCUAUUUUUCUAAAUCUCAAGGAAGGGUAAGUGCGUUUUACCCAAAAAAUUAAUCUGAUGGUGUGCGGGUACAAUAAUGAAUGGUUCCAAAAAAAUGUUAUAACUUUUGCCAUUAGCAACUAUUGAGUCAAUAGAACACAUUUUGUUUCUAUGUGGGCUCAUCUAUAGUGGCCUCUGCAGAAACACACGUUAAGAAACAUUUCUGCUGUCGCCUGGGUUAGGUUGAUCUUUGGCAACGAUGACUCUCUGCAUAUUCCUAUACCCAUUGCAGGCAGCCCGAUUCAUCACGAAAAGGCUCCACCGGCAUCUUUCUGCUUGGUCUAGCGAGGCCGAUGAAUCUGACCCUACGACAUGCAAGGUCGGCCUUCAACAACAUACCUUUUCUCUUCGAUGCAGCGGGUCCUUCCCAAAGGUACUUGGAUUGGGGCCGCAUGUCUCAAACCCAAGGGCUCCUUAGUUAAGGCUAUGCUGCUUCGAAAGCCAUCCAAUUGAUGUGCCAUCUCCAUGGACAUCAAAGAUAUCCUUCUCCGCCGAGAUGCCCCGGAUAUAGUUGAGGAACUCUUUCAAAUGCAUCUCAAAGGCUCGAGACCCUCUUUUUUUGUUCUCCUCAUGGUCUGUAAACUUUGAUCCCAGGGCACAUAAUUUUAUGGCCCCACCCCACGAAUGUUGCGCACUGGGAAGCUUCGAAUCAUUUUGUUGGGCCUAUUCCUCUUCUCACCUCACUGCCUUCAUGUGUCUCAAAACUUCCUCUCUUUCGAUUAAUGAAAUCUCAUUAAGCAAAAAUUCCAGUUGGAUGUUUCCAACAUUUCAAAGGGUCUAGUAUUCUCCAUCCUAUCCACAAAAACAAUCUAGAGCAGUUCUGCAGUGGCAUGUUUUCUGCUUUUAUUCCCGUUAUCGCAACGAACUUAUUUACCAGCUAGCCCAUCUCCAUUUCACGUUUCGGAUCCAUGGCGAUUGCUUUGACAGGGGAACAGCACAAUAAUUUGCUGGUCUGCAUUUCCAUAAGACAAAACUCAAAUUGUUCCAAAGUCUUCAGGGUAGAAAUAUGUGACCAGGGAAAAACACUCCAAAAUGUUCGGUCUUACAGUUCGGCCUGACGGUAACAUGCACAAGAGCAGACCCGAAUCGAUUGGUACCGCUGGCCCAUAUGAAUGAGCUUAUACUAAUCAUAAGAUUGUAAUAUGAGGUUUUUGUAACAUAUUAUGAGGAAAACUCGUGUGCCGAGCUUAUUAUGAGGUUUUUGAAACAUAUGAGGAAAAUUCAUAUGCCGAUUGAAUGAGAUUUUUGUAACAUAUGAGGAAAAUUCAUAUGCCGAUUAAAUGACUUGGAGAUUCAUUCUAUCAGCUUCCUCUGACAUGAAUCGGAUGAGAUUUUUGUAAUAUGAAAAAAACUCAUGUGCCGAUUGGAUAAUUCGGAGAUUCAUUCUAUCAACUUCCUCCGUCAGAAAUCGAACUCAUUAGAGCUUCUUUAUCCCGCCUUAUAAUUUGUAAUAUUUUUUUUUCCUUUAUAAUGGAGAUUUCGCCCCUUUCACUAUCGCAAAAAGGGGGUUUUGACUGGUGAUUUGUGUUGUGGGUGGUUCCAUCGAGGCAUAGGGAUCAGAUGGUACAAAGAAUGGGAGUGCCCAGGUUGUCGUAACCAGGCUGGUUAGGGCGGAACACCCUUCUCGCAUCUUCUUUUGAACUGCGAGAUCCGACCACUCUUCAUAUCCCCUUUGACUGCCUGAAGGAUCAUGACUUAAUCUCCUGCCCCUCCACCUCGUUAUAUACAAGCAUCCUCAAAGCCCAUUUCUCUCCCCCAACCGAUGUGGGAUUGAUUUAAAAUUAGAGAUUAGAACACACCCCGCACCUCACACCCCGCACCUCACACCCCACACCCCCAAAACAACUUCUUCAGGCCUUCAAGUAGAACACCCAACCCUUCCCAAGAUCUGGCACAAUGCUUCCACGCUUUCCCGAUGUUCAGGCACAUGAACUAUAGGUCGACGCGAAAUCUCCAACCUUAUGCUUGUUCAGUUUGCUGAUCUUGAUGUGACGUUCAAUCAGGCAACAUCGCAAGUCACGUGGUGGUGCCGAGACCGAGCUGGCUCCUUAGCCUUGCGUUAUGUUUUUAUUUUCUUCUUAUUUCCCCAGUUUCAGCUCAUAUAAACACGCCUAUGAAUAAACUGAUGGAUGUUUGUUGGCCCAACCAUUCUUCUUAGUUCCGAUCUCGAUAAGGAAAGGGGAGAAUUUAUAACAAA